UGUAUAAAGUAUCAAAACGUUUGCCUUUACAUUAGGAGGAAAUUCGAAAAAGUUCAAGAAAACACAAACCUCAAGCCUCUCCAAAUCUAGCCAUUGAAAUCCACGUUUCCAAGGUGGUGGUGGAAGUCUUACUGCAGUGAUUCUCGGUUGAAAUUUGAAGAUCGUCAGGAGGCGGAGAUGCUGGUUAGACAGACGUUGUAUUCGCGUUUGUUCUUAGUGUUGGUGCCGAGUACGGGUUUUGAUCAAGGGACCAUCACAUGGAUCUCAUCUCCAACAGUGGAUAUCCUUUUUCCAUCAAAAACAAUCAAAGACACAAUAACAAAACACAGACUAUCCCCAAUCGAUUUCCCUUCUUUCCUCUUUCUUAACAACUUUUCAAGAAUAAAAGAAACCGGAUCUGACGGAUUCUUCGUGUACACAGGAAGUCGAAGAGGACGAACAAUCCGGUGAGAUAUUCUUCUUGGGGUGGCGUCGCGGUCGGAGAGUGAUGGAAGAUUUUGAGGGUGGUGGUUAGAUUUGGGUAGAUCGUUAUUGUGGUGGACGGUGUGGGUGGUUGUUGAGGUCGAAGAGGGUUGUUUUAGGUGAAGAAGAUGAAGGUGUGAGGUGAGGUAGGGUUAGUGGAGACGGAGGCAUGGUUGAAGUGGGAUUUCGGCAAGGUAACGGUACCUUUCUUCCUUUUUUUCCCAAUGAUUCGACGCAUCCUUUUAUAGGCAAAGUCUGUGGUCCCUCUGAGUAUGAGCUGGCUCAGAUUGCAUAAUCAGUCGGUUAGAAUUGGAUCAUUCCCAGAUUUGGUGGGGACCAAAUACGUGACAAGAUCUCAUUGGCGGCAUGACAAGUCCUUAUUCUCUGCCUUGGUUGUGAAGCGGCUUACGUUUUUGAAUUGAGAUUAGAGUGUGAGCAUCUAAGAAGGGUGAAAACGAUGGUGGACGUUAGCAUUCGUCCACUUUCCGAGGCUUGGAUUUGUUUUUGAGAAGAAUUUCGGUUGAAUUUCCCCUGUGAACCUUUACUUGUUAGCUUCUUGAUUUUGGUUGAAAAUCCAACUUUCUGUAUGCAUUGCCGGUGUUUGUUUUUAUUGACUUUGGCUUGAUCUCUUGGCUCUCAUCAAGUCAAUUGUUCAUGCUGCUGGAUUGUACAUGUUUGUGUGUAUGAAUUACUAUGAUGUAACCUUUACUCACACACUUGAUUUUGCAGGUUGCACUUGUGAAAUUAGUUUGCAGGUUAAACAGUACUAAAUGGAUCUCCUCUUGCAAGCUUAAGUUUAUUUUUGAAAGUGGUAUUUGAGAAGAGUGAACUUAUUAGCUCAUUAUGCAUUCCUGUUCUUCGGAUAACUUGCAGGCAAGGCCCCCAUUAGGUUGAAGCAAUUUCGUCUGCUAUUUGGAUGAGUCAGAGAGUAUUGAUUAUCUCAUUCCUAUUGGUAAGCCUGUGGUACUAUCUGGCGGCAAUCCUCCAAGAAGAUUGACAAAUGAUGCAGGUUUUGGUUGCAUUUACUCUGCACAUGGUUUAGACCUUGCAACUGGUUUUUU